UACGUAGGGGGCAAGCGUUGUCCGGAUUUAUUGGGCGUAAAGAGCGUGUAGGCGGCCUGGCAAGUCUGCUGUGAAAACUCGAGGCUCAACCUCGAGAUGUCGGCGGAAACUGCCUGGCUAGAGUCCGGAAGAGGAGAGUGGAAUUCCUGGUGUAGCGGUGAAAUGCGCAGAUAUCAGGAAGAACACCUAUGGCGAAGGCAGCUCUCUGGGACGGUACUGACGCUGAGACGCGAAAGCGUGGGGAGCGAACAGG
rnacentral:rRNA from 1 species